UGGGGAAUUUUGGACAAUGGGCGAAAGCCUGAUCCAGCCAUUCCGCGUGCAGGAUGAAGGCCCUCGGGUUGUAAACUGCUUUUGUACAGAACGAAAAGGUCUCUAUUAAUACUAGGGGCUCAUGACGGUACUGUAAGAAUAAGCACCGGCUAACUACGUG
rnacentral:rRNA from 1 species